UUGGGGUCACCACAACAUGAGGAAGUGUACUAGAGGGCGCAGCAUUAGAAGAUGGAGAGGCAUUGUUGUAAAUAGAAAGUAGCAGGUCUCGGCUCUCCUCACACAGACAGACCUUGAAGCAGCUGUGUGGCAGGCACACAUCAUUGUGUAGCCUGGUGAGAGGUGAUAGCAUGCAAGUCAGACUUGUUACUCUCCGUGUGCUCUAUAACAUGUUGCUGUGUGGACUUUAGAGCCAAAAGCAAGAACUGGCACAAGAAGAAGGAAUAAGCCAGGCGUUGAGAGAGGAGGCCCAGCGGAGGGAGACAGCCCUGCAGCAGAUGCGCACAGCCGUGAAGGAGCUCUCAGUGCAAAAUCAGGACCUGAUUGAGAAGAAUCUGACACUGCAAGAGCACUUGCGCCAGGCCCAGCCAGGGUCCUCGUCAGGGUCCCCAGACGCCGCCCAGCUGGCAUAUGAGCUGCACCAGGAACUGGCCAGUUGCCUUCAAGACCUGCAAGCUGUCUGCAGCAUUGUGACCCAGAGGGCCCAGGGCCACAGUCCUAACCUCUCUCUGCUCCUAGGCAUUCACUGUGAGUCCUCAGAAGGGCCUCGGCUCCCUCACCCUCCAAUGUGGCUGUUCUUAGGGUAACAUGAACCAGGUGCAUAGGCCUGGCCACUGCCUUGUGGGAGUUGUCAAAGUGAGUGCACUGUAAGCGGUUCACAAACAGGCCUCCCUAGAGAGCACUUACAUGGAGGACAGACAGAAAUCCUGCCUCAGGCAACCAAUUAUCCCGGUUUGUUCUGUGAAAGUGUCAUGUCCUUAAAAAACAAAAACAAAAACAAAAAACAAAAAAACAAAA
rnacentral:lncRNA from 1 species